rnacentral:snRNA from 1 species
AUUGCUUCUCGGCCUUUUGGCUAAGAUCAAGUGUAAUAUCUCUUCUUAUCAAUUUAAUUUUAUAUUGAUUUAGAGAAAUCAUUUAUGUUGAGCUUUAUGUUUCUAUGUAGCUCAAUAAUAACCCUCU